CCCGCGGCGAGAGCGCGGCGGCUCCCUUGGGUGCGUUUAGUGUCUCCACGGCUUCCUCCUCGGCCCUUUUCCGUGCCAGCCGGGAAAAACAGACCUGCGCGGCACAGGCGCGGCUCCGUCACCUCCCGCCGCUGCUUUGCUAUUGCUGUGCCUCCGUGAGCACGAAAACAAAGCGCAGGGCAAGAGGAGGCUGCCGCCCGCCCUGCCGCCCGCGCCGGCGCCCGGCGUCCUGGCCAUCCCUCCCUGCAGCUUGAGUGGCAAGUUCUAACAAAGCUUUGUCGAAAAGCCUGGAAACUGCAUUGUUAAUUUUUCAAAUCAAGGAUAUGUCUUUAUUCAGAAAGUACAUUAAAAGCAUUCUGAUUUCCAAGAAAAUAAAUAACAGCGGCUAGGAGACUUAAACGAAGCAGGAGGAACAAGGAGAAGGGAAGGGCACCAUUCUUGCUGACAUAAUUAGUCCCUGUCUGAAAGCUAUAAAAGUGUCCAGGCUGGAAUGGAAGCUCUGUGAAGCCAGGCACUUUUGCUCUUUUGCUCACUGCUGCAUCCCCACAGCCUAGGACAGUGCCUGGGACAUGUAAGUCCACACAUAUUUGCUGGAUGAAUGUAUGUAUUUAAUUCUCUCAUUUUGCAAAGUGGAUGUUAUAUUCAUUUUUUUAAACAUGCCCAGAUUAAAAAAUAAAAACGAAAUUCAAUGAGGUUAAAUAUUGUAUUCUAUAUUCUCACACUAAUAAAUGGCCCAUCUCAGACUUAAGGACAGACAUACCUAGCUCCAAAGCCAGAAUUCUUUCCUCACUACCCCCUAUAGC